AUUGAACGCUGGCGGCCGGCCUAACACAUGCAAGUCGAGCGAGCGGCGGAUGGGUGAGUAAUGUAUGGGGACUGCCCGAUAGAGGGGGAUACCUACUGGAAACGGUGGCUAAUACCGCAUACUAUCGGAUAACACCUAUGGGCUUAGCUAGUAGGUGGGGUAAAGGAUCACCUAGGCGACGAUCUCUAGCUGGUCUGUGAGGAUGAUAGGCCACACUGGGACUGCGACACGGCCCAGAGUCCUACGGAGGCAGCAGUGGGGAAUAUGGCACAAUGGGCGCAAGCCUGAUGCAGCCAUGCCGCGUGUAUGAAGAAGGCCUUAGGGUUGUAAAGUACUUUCAGCGGGGAGGCGUUACCCGCAGAAGAAGCACCGGCUAACUCCGUGCCAGCCGCCGCGGUAAUAC
rnacentral:rRNA from 1 species